UCCUGAUAGCACAUUAGGGAAGGGCUCCGCGUUCGGGGUAUACGUCGGCGGUGGGUAGACAGGUGGUGUCGUUUGCGGUGGUGCUGGUGGGUGUCGGGGCACCGGGAGGACAAGUUUUGGUUCCUGUGUUCGACGUUCGCUUGCGUUGGACGAUCCGACAAGCAAAGACCAAAGGGAUAGUCACCCUUCGGAAAGAGUCUUUUCUCGGUGCAAACGCCGAGAGUCGAGGAAGAGAGGCCAGGUACCUAUUUAUACACAGCCGUAUGUGACACCAAGCGCACUGACACGAAGCGCUGCUGCUCCUGAAUUAUGCCACUGGUGAAUCAGUCGCACCCGUGUAGCGAAACGAGUUGCGG
rnacentral:misc_RNA from 1 species